rnacentral:rRNA from 1 species
UAGGGAAUCUUCGGCAAUGGGGGCAACCCUGACCGAGCAACGCCGCGUGAGUGAAGAAGGUUUUCGGAUCGUAAAGCUCUGUUGUAAGUCAAGAACGAGUGUGAGAGUGGAAAGUUCACACUGUGACGGUAGCUUACCAGAAAGGGACGGCUAACUACGUGCCAGCAGCCGCGGUAAUACGUAGGUCCCGAGCGUUGUCCGGAUUUAUUGGGCGUAAAGCGAGCGCAGGCGGUUUGAUAAGUCUGAAGUUAAAGGCUGUGGCUCAACCAUAGUUCGCUUUGGAAACUGUCAAACUUGAGUGCAGAAGGGGAGAGUGGAAUUCCAUGUGUAGCGGUGAAAUGCGUAGAUAUAUGGAGGAACACCGGUGGCGAAAGCGGCUCUCUGGUCUGUAACUGACGCUGAGGCUCGAAAGCGUGGGGAGCGAACAGGAUUAGAUACCCUGGUAGUCCACGCCGUAAACGAUGAGUGCUAGGUGUUAGGCCCUUUCCGGGGCUUAGUGCCGCAGCUAACGCAUUAAGCACUCCGCCUGGGGAGUACGACCGCAAGGUUG